rnacentral:rRNA from 1 species
UACGUAGGGUGCAAGCGUUGUCCGGAAUUAUUGGGCGUAAAGAGCUCGUAGGCGGUUUGUCGCGUCUGCCGUGAAAGUCCGGGGCUCAACUCCGGAUCUGCGGUGGGUACGGGCAGACUAGAGUGAUGUAGGGGAGACUGGAAUUCCUGGUGUAGCGGUGAAAUGCGUAGAUAUCGAGAGGAACACCUGCGGCGAAGGCGGGUUGCUGGGCUGAUACUGACGCUGAGGCGCGAAAGCCAGGGGAGCGAACGGG